rnacentral:rRNA from 1 species
UACGGAGGGUGCGAGCGUUGUCCGGAAUCACUGGGCGUAAAGGGCGCGUAGGCGGCCUGAUAAGUAGGGGGUGAAAUCCUGCGGCUUAACCGCAGGGCUGCCUUCUAAACUGUCAGGCUCGAGCACAGUAGAGGCAGGUGGAAUUCCCGGUGUAGCGGUGGAAUGCGUAGAGAUCGGGAAGAACAUCAGUGGCGAAGGCGGCCUGCUGGGCUGUUGCUGGACACUGAGGCGCGACAGCGUGGGGAGCGAACAGG